GGAGCCGUGCCUGAAAAAGGACCACUUUGAUAGAGUGAAUUAUGAGGGUUAAAAUCCCUCCGACUCCU
rnacentral:tRNA from 1 species